UUCAUGGAGAGUUUGAUCCUGGCUCAGGACGAACGCUGGCGGCGUGCCUAAUACAUGCAAGUCGAGCGGACCGACGGGAGCUUGCUCCCUUAGGUCAGCGGCGGACGGGUGAGUAACACGUGGGUAACCUGCCUGUAAGACUGGGAUAACUCCGGGAAACCGGGGCUAAUACCGGAUGCUUGAUUGAACCGC
rnacentral:rRNA from 1 species